UUUGCUUGGGAAAUAGCUCACAUGCAGGCUCUGCUGAGGAACCUUUCCUUGAGCCAGACGUCCCCACCCUCUGGGGCUGAGCACCCUCCCAGAGCCCCUUGCCCUUCCCAUGGUUCAGACCUCAGCAGAGAUGCCAAGAGCCCUGUCCUAAGGAUGCUUCCAGCAAGUGACUUAGCAUCAGGGGGAUCAGAACUGAGAAAAAAAAUCGACUCCACUGGGAAGGGAUCCUAGGGGAGAGCCUCAAAGAUCUCACUAAGAAUCCAUCAUCAGAGUUGCUGUGGUCACAGAUCACCAGGGCUUCUGGUUUUCCUUUUCUGAUAGACUCCAAGAUCCCUAGGACAAGGACAGAGUCUGCUUUGGGAUAUGAUGCUGAAUGAAUGAUGAUUUAAUAAGAGCAACACCGAAACACCAGAGGCUCUUUCAAUGUGGUAGGAGAGUGAGCUAGGGGCCAGCAGGGCCCAUGUGAACAUUGCAAACCAUCUCCCCCAACACACGGCUCUUAUUUAUUGUUUACAAAGCCAUUCACAUACGUUAAUAUGCUUGAGAUACACAUGAAAGUCUUCACUGUCUCAUGCACAUCACACCAGGAGGUGGGAUUUCCCUUACUAUUGGUGCUCAGUAAAUAUUUAUGGAAUGAAUACAGGAAGGAAUGACCACAAGCAGAGAGAAUGAACUCAUCAAAGCAGGUAAAGAGCAUAUUUGCACCAAAGCUUUGCAUUUCCACUCAUGAUAAUCACAUCUUAUUAGCCAUGUGAACUGGGACAGAUUAUUUAACCUCCUAAGUCUUGAUUCCCUCUUCUGUAAAGUGGAACAAUGAGAACAAUUAUACCACAGAACUGGAGUGAGCAUCAAUAGAAAUCAUGCAUGGAAAAUCCUGGGUCCAAGGCCUGGCCUGUGUUCUGAUUUAAUCACAAAUUUCCUUACCACAAAACCCCUAAAAGGAUUUUCUUACUCUGGAUCACUAAUCCCAUAAGAUUUCCUGUGGGUUAUUGGACAGUUUAGCUUUUAAGCUUUGCAGUUUCUGACUAAGUGACUGGGAGAUGGUGAGCUAGCAGGGACAAGCACAGAGGCAGGAUGAGGAGGAGGUGGUGCCAGCCCUGGUACCAUGCAGACCACCAGGAGCCUCUGAAUGGUGGAUUCUCCACCUGUGCAUGGGAUAUAGAGUCAGCUACAGACUCAAGAUCAUUGAUGAGCAAAGCUUGGGAACCAUAGCACUAGAAGUCAAAUUCGGGAUUGGUUGUGAAAAUUAAA